AGUGAACGCUGGCGGUAGGCCUAACACAUGCAAGUCGAACGGCAGCACAGGAGAGCUUGCUCCCUGGGUGGCGAGUGGCGGACGGGUGAGGAAUACAUCGGAAUCUACUUUUUCGUGGGGGAUAACGUAGGGAAACUUACGCUAAUACCGCAUACGACCUACGGGUGAAAGCAGGGGACCUUCCGGCCUUGCGCGAUUGAAUGAGCCGAUGUCGGAUUAGCUAGUUGGCGGGGUAAAGGCCCACCAAGGCGACGAUCCGUAGCUGGUCUGAGAGGAUGAUUAGCCACACUGGAACUGAGACACGGUCCAGACUCCUACGGGAGGCAGCAGUGGGGAAUAUUGGACAAUGGGCGCAAGCCUGAUCCAGCCAUACCGCGUGGGUGAAGAAGGCCUUCGGGUUGUAAAGCCCUUUUGUUGGGAAAGAAAUCCAGCUGGCUAAUACCCGGUUGGGAUGACGGUACCCAAAGAAUAAGCACCGGCUAACUUCGUGCCAGCCGCCGCGGUAA
rnacentral:rRNA from 1 species